rnacentral:rRNA from 1 species
CACGCAGGCGGUGCUACGCGUUUCGCGUGACAGCGGGCGGCUUACCUGCCCGAGGAUGCGAAAGACGGUAGGACUUGAGGGCCAGAGAGGGACACGGAAUUCCGGGUGGAGUGGUGAAAUGCGUAGAGAUCCGGAGGAACACCGAGGGCGAAGGCAGUGUCCUGGCUGGUGACUGACGCUGAGGUGCGAAAGCCAGGGGAGCGAACGGGAUUAGAUACCCCGGUAGUUCUGGCCGUAAACGAUGACCACCAGGUGUGGGAGGUAUCGACCCCUUCCGUGCCGGAGGAAACCCACUAAGUGGUCCGCCUGGGGAGUACGGUCGCAAGAUUAAA